GGGGUUGUGGCUCAGAGGCAGAGCGCUCGCCUGGCAUGCGUGAGGCACUGGGUUUGAUCCUCAGCAUCACGU
rnacentral:tRNA from 1 species